UCUUCCUCUCUCCCAUUUCAUAACAGUGUUCCACAUUGGCUGGACCAACUGGGAGCCAAAGGCCAUCUGAUGCCAUCCGUACAGAAAAUGGCAACCAGGAAUCAAACUUUCUUGAGGUGAUCCUUGGAUGCUGUAUGGACUGAAAUGCUUCGUUUCCAGUUGUUCAGACAAGCCCCAGGAAUAGCACUCAAGUUCAUGGGCAUCCAGGAAACGACAGUCUGCCAUGACAACCAGCCGUGGUUGUGAGACAACAGUUGAUCAUUGGACUGGCUUUAAUGCUGACAUAAUGGCCAUCUCUGGAACUUCUGACCUUUGCAUAGUCUUUGCAUGGACAUGAAUGCCAGUUGAAGACAUCUCUAUAUUGCCUAGUCCUGUGGAGAGUUUAUAUGGGAGUCCUUGCAUUCCACAGCUCUUAAUCUUCCAGUGGUACCCCACACUCAUGACAUCUGAAAGCCUGGGAAGGCUGGCAUGGAAACUCAAGACCCACUGGGGAUGAAUGCAGAUGAAGCAGUCUUCUGAGAAUUUGGUACCUAAAGACGGUUCUGUCCCUGGACAAGAGCCACUAGAGGUUUUCAGAGAGUUCCAAAAUCUUAUUAAAAUGAGUGAAUGUCAAAAUAGUCAUGUUGUAAAGAUCAGAUGGGACUUCAGAGAGCCAUUAGCUUCCAUAUUGAACGAUUGGUGACCAUUUAACUUCGUCUUAUUUGAAGAAUUGACAGCCACUGUAAGUGGAUUGUUAAACUGUGUCACAGUUGGGAACUGUUAAGGUUAAAUUAUUAACAAGAAGCCAUAUCUGUAGAAUGAACGAGGCUGUGAAGUGAGGUUUUCUGGAGUCUUUCAUGACAAUGGCCGAUUUAAUUCUUUUUCUUUCUUGCUUCCUCCUUAGAUCAUCAUCUUAAAUUAAAAAUCUUGGGCUGGGCGCGGUGGCUCACGCCUGUAAUCCCAGCACUUUGGGAGGCUGAGGCGGGUGGAUCAUGAGGUCAAGAGAUCGAGACCAUCCUGGUCAACAUGGUGAAACCCCGUCUCUACUAAAAAUACAAAAAUUAGUGGGGCAUGGUGGCACGUGCCUGUAAUCCCAGCUACUCGGGAGGCUGAGGCAGGAGAAUUGCCUGAACCCAGGAGGCGGAGGUUGCGGUGAGCCGAGAUCGCGCCAUUGCACUCCAGCCUGGGUAACAAGAGCGAAACUCCGUCUCAAAAAAUAAAUAAAUAAAUAGUCUUGGCUCUGUUUUUAUUUUAUUAGCUUUACAUUUGUUUAACUUCAAAUCACUCACAGGAUUUCAGGAAUAAUUAUGACCAUUUGAUUAUGAUUGCCAUAGUUUUAUGGAGCUUCUAUAAUUUUUCAGAUUGUUCCUGAUAUCUUUGCACAUUAUCAUAUAUGUGACCAUCUUUUCUUAGAUGUUUUAUAAAGGUGUUUUAAGAUAGUUUUGGGGGACACUUCAUUUAACUGAUGCCAAAUACCCAACUAAUUUAUCCGGAAUUGGACAACAUGAAUCUCAGGUGGGGAAAUCAUCCCAGCCCAUUCUUCAGCAAGUCCACAGACUUGGGUUUGGAAGGUGGCUCGAUCCAGGCUCAAUUGCUGUCAGACCCAGAGCACAGUAGAAGUAGGAAACCACCACUGGGUUAUCAAUGGCAGUCUGUUUAUCCUCCUUCACAUCAGUGGCUCCGGUGUAAGAUUUGACUUAUGUAUCUAAACAUGGAGAGACAGUGUAGUCUUUCACAAAUAAGGCAACUUCAUUCGAGUCUAGAUUUUUUUCAUAAAGAAAGAUUGGUAGACUAAAGGAAGGAGAGUAGUAUUUCACUUCUUUUGAGGAGAUUCCUUUCUCUGUCCUUUGGAGUGGCGGCAUUGCCUCUUCUCAUAUUUGUUUUUUUCUUUUCUUCUCAUUCUGUGGGAAAGAGCUUGAAGGCAGGUCCUUAUAGCACCAGUCUACAAACAUGAAGGAAGGGCUGGGCUCCUUACAUGAGGAAAACACUGGGCUUGUCACAUCUUCAUUUUCAGACUGGAAUCCUGGGGUACAUUUGAACGUCAGCUCACUCCGAGGGGAGACAUACUCCUGAAGGAAAUGCAGAGGGCCAAGCUGAAGACAAGCCUUUGCCUAAAAUCUGCCAUGAGAGUUUAAGCUGUGGAUGAUGGGAAAUUUGUAGAGGAGAGAAAUGGAUGGACACGGAUCUUACGCAAUAGGCAUGUGUGUUAGGAAACCCACACUGUUGCUGGCUCUAACCAGCGUCUCUCUGAGCAGCACUGUCAGGACUAUUUACUCAGAUUUUGUACAGAGUUUGCAGAAAUGAAAAACCUCUGUGAAUCCCAAGUGUUAUCUCUUUUCAUCACGAUAUAGAUAUUUGGUGGAAUAGUCCACAGAUUAGACAUUUUCACAAAAUCGAAGUUUUGCUGACCUCUCCUGUUCUAAGGCAUUUUUUUUGGUGGGGAAGCUAGGGGGAAGACGGGCCAAAUUUUCAUUCCACUGAGGUUCAAUGGCUCAUGAUUUUUUUUGUUGCUAUUAAAAGUUUUUUUGGUCACUUAUCACCUGUCAAUUUGUAUAUCAUUCAGGCCUUCGUUCUGGUUCCAUGUGCUUCAGGUUGAUGUCAGUUCUCUGUUUUACACACAACCAGAUUCCUACUUAGGAUAGGAAGAAUAAAUAAAGCUACAGAGCAGGUCUCAGGAAUCAGAUCCCUUGAGCGAACUCCCCUCCUCAGAAUGGAGCUCUCUUCCUCUCCCCAGUCCCAGCUGCAGCAUCCUAUGGAUGGGAAAGGCUGAUGUCAUACAAACAUCUGCAGGAAAAAUGGUCACACUCCACAGUGCAUGCCUCCUUUAUUCAACAAUGUGUAGUAAUUAUUUUCUUAAUAAAUAUCUUCUAUUUUCUAUUCUCAUAAGCAACACAUGUUCAUUAAGCUCUGCAAAUCUCUGCAUGGAUGCUAGUAAUACAAAUGUGAAUAGGACCGAUUUCUUGCUCUUAAUUGGCUUAAUUCUGAGUGAAGAGACAGACAAGAAAACCAGUACUCACCACAUGGUGUGGCAAGUGCAAGAAUGCAGGUGUGCUCUGAGGCCAGCGCAGUGAUAGUGGUGCUCCUUCAGUGACAGAUCUGCUUGUUUUUCUUCAAUAUUGGAACAUUUCAGCCAUUUUUUGAAUAAUUUGUCUUCUUAUAGCACAUAUGAAUCUACUUCUAUACCGUGUAUUGGAGCUUCUUAUUCUGUCCUCUGUGUUGGCUAACUUCUCAUUUUUCAUUUACUUACCUCUUUAUCCUGCCCUCUACGGGAUUUCCUUAAAUACAGUCUUCAGUGCACCAAGCUACUCCAUUAUCUAAACAUUAGGCAAUUGUUUUUUCCUUCCCUUUAGAAAUGUAUUUUAAUUCUGGUGUAAAGUUAAUGGCUUUAAACAGGACUGUAGAAUCUCUCUUUCCAAAUGCCAAUCCAAUUGAUCAAAACCCUAGUAAAAAUAAGCUAUACCUCAGGCUCAAGCGAACAUUUCACCUGCAAGAUUCUCUAAGAGUGGAGAACUCACCUAGGGAGUGACUGGACAAAGAGAGAAGUGAGGGUUGUUUUUUGACUCGAAUGAUGCCCAGGAUUAAAGACCUACUUAGCUGAGAAGUAUUGUAGGAAAAAACUUAAGACUUUGCUUUUAACAAAGGAAGACUCAGAAAUGCCAAGAUUCAGCCCCAGCUUCAGUGGCCACAACAGUGACUUCUCAACUAAGUUGACUAAGUCACUAACAGUGACUUCCUGCCCUGGAUUGGUGCAGGAAUUGGGAGAUGUCAUCACUAGGUGAAAAACAUACUAUUUGAGCCAGUUGAGAACAUAAAUCAACGGAGUUAUUUUAAUAGAAAGCAAUAAGUAGCAUCAGGAAGAGACCAGCACAACCUAUUAGUAGCUAAUUACAGGUUGGAUUUGACCAACCAACAUUUCAUUAUUAAAUGUGCCAACCUAUGUUGCCACUGAGUCUCCGGAACUGAACUGUCAACUACUAUGAAGUCAUUUAGGGCCAAGGAUAAGAGCUUUCCCCACUCUCUGAUUUUAAACUGAGGAUCUCUUGCUUGGGAGAUGAAUGUGGGAAUCUCCUAAUUAGGGAAAAGCUUUAGAACCUUAGUUGCAUUUCUC